rnacentral:sRNA from 1 species
CAUUGCUGCUACUUCCUGGAGCUUAAUGCGCUUUGCUUUUUUGGCUCUAACCUCUCUUGGCUAGACGAGCUUCCCCAACUGGUAACCCUUCCACACCCCAAUCUUCAUGGACCAGAGAUCUUGGAUGUUCCUUCCACAGUUCAAAAGACCCCUUUCGUCACCCACCCUGGGUAUGACACUGGAAAUGGUAUUCAGCUUCCUGGCACUUCUGGUCAGCAACCCAGUGUUGGGCAACAAAUGAUCUUUGAGGAACAUGGUUUUAGGCGGACCACACCGCCCACAACGGCCACCCCCAUAAGGCAUAGGCCAAGACCAUACCCGCCGAAUGUAGGUGAGGAGAUCCAAAUUGGUCACAUCCCCAGGGAAGAUGUAGACUAUCACCUCUACCCACAUGGUCCGGGACUCAAUCCAAAUGCCUCUACAGGACAAGAAGCUCUCUCUCAGACAACCAUCUCAUGGGCCCCAUUCCAGGACACUUCUGAGUACAUCAUUUCAUGUCAUCCUGUUGGCACCGAUGAAGAACCCUUACAGUUCAGGGUUCCUGGAACUUCUACCAGUGCCACUCUGACAGGCCUCACCAGAGG